UCAUGGUUUCUACAAAUGUGCAUGAGCUAUUGGAAUGCCCUGUGUGUUUGGUUCCCAUGUAUCCUCCAAUUCAUCGGUGCUCCAAUGGUCAAACCAUUUGUUCUGAAUGCAAGCCAAGGGUUCAUAAUGGUCGCCCAACUUGCAGGAGUGAAUUGGGUAACAUAAGAUGCCUUGCUUUGGAGAAGGUUGGCGCCUCUCUAGACUUUAUGUCCAAGUUCCAGAACUUUGGAUGCUUGGGAAUGUAUCCUUAUUAUUGCAAGUUAAAACAUGAAUCAGAGUGCCAAUACAGACCCUAUACUGGCCCAUAUGCAGGUUUUAGGUUUUUGUUGAUUUAUGUGAUGGAAUCUUGAUAUGUAGCAUGACUUCCGUCCUGGACAGUUGCUGGGAAUGCGUUGAGAAAAUGCAACAUGACUUGUUGUUUGAAGUUACAGCCUUACAGGAGCAUCAACACAAAUUUGCAACGACGAAGUUUAUACCAUGCUUGUGUAGUCAGUCUGAAGCAUUUGCCUUUGGAAUUAAAGAAGAUCAGAGUAUGACACUGACCUGAGAUCAUACGAAGCGGUGAGCUAAUUAUGUUUUACUGUGCUUCAUGCUUUUCUGUCAUAGUCUGCGUCAUAAAAUUUUCCCUAUAGAUUUCAGUGCUAGCAAAUAUCCUAAAGACAUACAGAGAAGGCAAUCAGUGCAGUGGAUUCCAAUAUUGAUGCAAGAAAAAUGCCUUUGGGUUGAAGCCCACUUACUAAUAUUCUCAUGGUCUGUGUGUGUGUGUGUAGCUAUUCCUAUUUGUGAUUAUCAUCUUGUAGGAUGUUAAUCAGUACCUUACCUUUGACUUCCAUUCAAAGUUGAAGCGAUUAUUACUUAUCUAUUUAUCUGUUUCAAUGAAUAAGCCCACUUACUAAUAUUCUCAUGGUGUUUUAACAAAUAUAUAUACCAUCGGCUUGAUGGCGAGGAGGGAAGCCCCGCAGAUCGAGGAGGACGGCGCGACGACUGUGCUGUAGGUGAAGAGCAUGGUCAUGUCAUGGUACCGCAUAUUGGUGGUGGUCCGCUUUCCUGCUAUGGCGUCCAACACGACUACACCCUUUUACUUGGCCUGCUAUUUGAUUGGGAGGGUGCUCUUUUGCUUUAAAGACAUGAUUGAUGGAUGUAUUUUGGUUUUAUGAUGGCCAGGUUGAGCAAAAUCACAUGUUUUUUUUUUCAAGCUUGAGAAGAAAAAGACACCGGAACAGGUGAUUGAUCACAACCAUACUUUCAGAGCAGAGCUUUUUCAGUUACAAUUAAAGGCAGAAGGUAGCAGUUGACAUUAUUGGUAAAUUAAUUCUCUCCAUGUAUGUAUGUGCUAAUGUAACUAGCAUACAUCUAUACAUGGCUUUACUGAGCAUGAUUUUGCAUUUGCUACGACCUGCUAACCUAAACAUAUGCUACUACAGUACCUAGGUUUCUCUAUAGAAAAGGUCAAGUGUAAUCCUAAUUUGGGCUACUGAAUUUUAGCCCCUUCACUGGUUAAACCAUGGUCAUCUACAUGUUUAUGAUUGAUGUUUCACAAGCGAGCUUCGGUCUAGCUACCACCUGUCCACUAUUUAGGAAUGCAUACAAGUAAUUCCUGUACGGAGCAACACCACACAAGUUCUAUGUUUCAGAACAAGCAUUCUGCAUUUUCAGAGAUUAACAACUGAAAAAUUGUUCAGUCUGAUAAAGUAGAUCUAUGCUAGCAACUAGCAUCAUCAUUCUUUGUGCUGGAUUGGUCAAACGUUGGACAUUUGAAGAGAAGGAACUUCGUGUGAGAUUAAUAUCUUUCUGAUCAGUAGCAUCAUCCGUGACAAGGAUUUAUAAUGAAUGGCCAUUAGAAGAGAGGAAAGGACGGACAGAAGGUGCAAUAUUAUCAUGUUUGCUACACAAUUGAACAUGUUCCAUUAUUGAUUGAUUUUCAAUAUUGGUGCAUCUGGGUCCCACGCCGUGGCGUGGACACGGUGGCCCUGCCGAAGCGGGUGUGGUCGAGCCACUGGAUGAUGUAGCCGGUGGCUCCAGUCACGCACAUCGGCUGGUCCUGCUCCGGCGAGCAGCCGCUGCCCUUCCUGUCCUGAUAUUGCCUUGCAUCUCCUUUAGGUGAGGGUGUUGGACGCCGAGCAGGGAGUAAAAAAUUGUGGAGCUGUCAGUCCGUAAACGCUCUUGUAACACUUUUACUUAUCCACACCCGAAAAGCAGCUAAGCUGCAGUUUGUUAGUGAUGUGCUACAGUUUCACUUGUAUGGAAAGAGACGAGAUUCAUUUGCAUUGCUUGUAAUGCUUUUCUCUUUGGAUCAAAGAGCUC